rnacentral:lncRNA from 1 species
GUUUUGAUCCUUCCGACGAUGCAAAUCUUGCACCCGCGCAUGCUUAUGUUAAGGCUGGAGAGAAGCUUUAAGCUUGGGCGUGUUAUUAGGCAGAUGUUGCACUGAGAGGGCAUGUCAUUCAAUUGUAUUGCCUGACCUCGUGUCGCAGAAGCUUAUGCGCACUCCCUGUUGCAAGGAGUUUGGAUCCGGUCGAUGAUACAUGUCUAGCUUGGGCUUGUGCUUAUGUUGAGGCUGGAGAUGAGCUACAUGCUCGGGCGUCAUAUAUGGCUGAUGAUGUUGCAUUAUGAGGGCAUGUCAUUCAAUUGUAUUGCCUGAGGUGGUGUGACGGAAGCUCUUUGCA